rnacentral:ncRNA from 10 species
GGCCGGGAGUGGGCUAAUAGAAUACCCUUCGGGGGAAUAUGCCCGCCGUCUCGCAACGGUUUCUAGCUCCCGGCCUUUUCCAU